AUUGAACGCUGGCGGCAGGCCUAACACAUGCAAGUCGAACGAGUGGCGGACGGGUGAGUAAUGUCUGGGAAACUGCCCGAUGGAGGGGGAUAACUACUGGAAACGGUAGCUAAUACCGCAUACCAUCGGAUGUGCCCAGAUGGGAUUAGCUAGUAGGUGGGGUAAUGGCUCACCUAGGCGACGAUCCCUAGCUGGGCUGAGAGGAUGACCGGCCAUGCCGGAACUGAGACACGGUCCAGACGCGUACGGGAGGCAGCAGGGGGGAAUAUUGCACAAUGGGGGCGAGCCGGAUGCAGCCAUGCCGCGUGUGUGUAGAAGGCCUUCGGGUUGUAAAGGACUUCCAGCGAGGAGGCGUUACUGGAAGAAGAAGCACCUGCUAACUCCGUGCCAGCAGCCGCGGUAAUAC
rnacentral:rRNA from 1 species